rnacentral:rRNA from 1 species
GCCUGGAGAUGAGCUCGCGUCUGAUUAGCUAGUUGGUGGGGUAAAAGCUUACCAAGGCGACGAUCAGUAGCUGGUCUGAGAGGAUGAGCAGCCACACUGGGACUGAGACACGGCCCAGACUCCUACGGGAGGCAGCAGUGGGGAAUUUUCCGCAAUGGGCGAAAGCCUGACGGAGCAAGACCGCGUGGGGGAGGAAGGCUCUAGGGUUGUAAACCCCUUUUCUUUGGGAAGAACAAAAUGACGGUACCAAAGGAAUCAGCCUCGGCUAACUCCGUGCCAGCAGCCGCGGUAAUACGGAGGAGGCAAGCGUUAUCCGGAAUGAUUGGGCGUAAAGCGUCCGCAGGUGGCCAUGUAAGUCUGCUGUCAAAACCCAGGGCUCAACUCUGGUCAGGCAGUGGAAACUACAAAGCUAGAGUCUGGUAGGGGCAAAGGGAAUUCCCGGCGUAGCGGUGAAAUGCGUAGAUUUCGGGAAGAACAUCGGUGGCGAAAGCGCUUUGCUAGACCAGAACUGACACUCAGGGACGAAAG